AUUGAACGCUGGCGGCACGCCUAACACAUGCAAGUCGAGCGGUAACAUGGUUAGUAGCAAUACUAACUGAUGACGAGCGGCGGACGGGUGAGGAACACGUAGGAACUUGCCUUUUAGAGGGGGAUAACUAAGGGAAACUUUAGCUAAUACCGCGUAAUCUCGAGAGAGGAAAGCUGCCCGCAAGGGUGGCGCUAAAAGAGAGGCCUGCGUCCGAUUAGUUAGUUGGUGAGGUAAUGGCUCACCAAGGCGAUGAUCGGUAACUGGUCUGAGAGGACGACCAGUCACACUGGGACUGAGACACGGCCCAGACUCCUACGGGGGGCAGCAGUGGGGAAUAUUGGACAAUGGGGGCAACCCUGAUCCAGCGAUGCCGCGUGAGUGAAGAAGGCCUUCGGGUCGUAAAGCUCUUUAGGUUGGGAAGAAGGAUGUGUAGUUAAUACCUACAUAUUUUGACGGUACCAACAGAAUAAGCACCGGCAAACUCUGUGCCAGCAGCCGCGGUAAGAC
rnacentral:rRNA from 1 species